UACAGAGGGUGCAAGCGUUGUCCGGAAUCAUUGGGCGUAAAGAGCUCGUAGGCGGCUCAGUAAGUCGGGUGUGAAACCCCCAGGCUCAACCUGGGGACGCCACCCGAUACUGCUGUGGCUAGAGUCCAGUAGGGGAGUGUGGAAUUCCCGGUGUAGCGGUGAAAUGCGCAGAUAUCGGGAGGAACACCAGCGGCGAAGGCGGCACUCUGGGCUGGAACUGACGCUGAGGAGCGAAAGCGUGGGUAGCAAACAGGAUUAGAUACCCCCGUAGUCC
rnacentral:rRNA from 1 species